rnacentral:rRNA from 1 species
UACGUAGGGUGCGAGCGUUAAUCGGAAUUACUGGGCGUAAAGCGUGCGCAGGCGGUUCUAUAAGACAGAUGUGAAAUCCCGGGCUCAACCUGGGAAUGGCAUUUGUGACUGUAGAGCUGGAGUACGGUAGAGGGGGAUGGAAUUCCGCGUGUAGCAGUGAAAUGCGUAGAUAUGCGGAGGAACACCGAUGGCGGAGGCAAUCCCCUGGACCUGUACUGACGCUCAUGCACGAAAGCGUGGGGAGCAAACAGGAUUAGAAACCCUAGUAGU